UACAGAGGCCCCAAGCGUUACUGAGAAUCACUGGGUUUAAAGGGUGCGUAGGUGGCGCGUUAAGUCCGUUGUGAAAUCCCUUGGCUCAACCAAGGAAAUGCUUCGGAUACUGGCGUGCUUGAGGCUAGUAGGGGUCACUGGAACUGACGGUGGAGCGGUGAAAUGCGUAGAUAUCGUCAGGAACGCCGAUGGUGAAGACAGGUGACUGGGCUAGUCCUGACACUGAGGCACGAAAGCGUGGGGAGCGAACGGG
rnacentral:rRNA from 1 species